rnacentral:rRNA from 1 species
GAUGAACGCUGGCGGCGUGCCUAAUACAUGCAAGUCGAGCGAACAGACGAGGAGCUUGCUCCUCUGACGUUAGCGGCGGACGGGUGAGUAACACGUGGAUAACCUACCUCUAAGACUGGGAUAACUUCGGGAAACCGGAGCUAAUACCGGAUAAUAUAUUGAACCGCAUGGUUCAAUAGUGAAAGACGGUUUUGCUGUCACUUAUAGAUGGAUCCGCGCUGCAUUAGCUAGUUGGUAAGGUAACGGCUUACCAAGGCAACGAUGCGUAGCCGACCUGAGGGGGUGAUCGGCCACACUGGAACUGAGACACGGUCCAGACUCCUACGGGAGGCAGCAGUAGGGAAUCUUCCGCAAUGGGCGCAAGCCUGACGGAGCAACGCCGCGUGAGUGAUGAAGGUCUUCGGAUCGUAAAACUCUGUUAUUAGGGAAGAACAAAUGUGUAAGUAACUAUGCACGUCUUGACGGUACCUAAUCAGAAAGCCACGGCUAACUACGUG